CGUCUAUAUACGUAUAGCAUAUCAAUAAGCGGAGGAAAAGAAACUAACUAGGAUUCCCUCAGUAACGGCGAGUGAAGCGGGAAGAGCUCAAAUUUGAAAUCUUCAAGGUUCUACCUUGACGAAUUGUAGUUUAAAGAAGUGUUUUCUGUUGGAGUUUUGGUAAAAGUUCUUUGGAAUAGGACAUCAUAGAGGGUGAGAAUCCCGUAUUUGACCAUUAUUUCCAACUUUGUCGAUACACUUUCAAAGAGUCGGAUUGUUUGGGAAUGCAGUCCAAAAUGGGUGGUAAAUUUCAUCUAAAGCUAAAUACUGGCGAGAGACCGAUAGCGAACAAGUACCGUGAGGGAAAGAUGAAAAGAACUUUGAAAAGAGAGUUAAACAGUACGUGAAAUUGUCAAAAGGGAAGCGUUUGACACCAGUGUUGUUUUCUCGAAAAUCAAUUAAAAAUGGCGGGAUUUUGUGUUGUAUUGACUUUAUCAGCUUUCUGCACUUUUUUCCUGUCUUUUUUAAUGCACUUUUCGUUUAACAAGUCAACAUCAAUUUCUUUUGUUGUAAAAGGGUCAUUGGAAGGUGGCUUUCUUUUCGGAGAAAGUGUUUAUAGCCUUUGGACUUCUGCAGUCGGAGAGAUUGAGGUCUGCAGCGUAGAUCCUUCGGGGUUAGAUGCAUUUGUGCUAAGUUAUAGCUUUUCAUAGACAACAUGUUGACUAUGAUUAGUCAUGUAGCUUACUCGCUUAUGCUAUUUUACCUACGCUUAGGAUGUUGACGAUCAGCUGAGCGCG
rnacentral:rRNA from 1 species